rnacentral:misc_RNA from 1 species
AACGCAAAUUGCGCUCUUGGGUAGCCCUAGGAGCACGCCUCUCUCAGUAUCGGUUCAACAACCUCUCAGCAGCGUCUGUGGAAUUUAUUCCUUGGUCGUGUCGGCUGGAAAAUGAGAGUCUGAGUGCUUGCAUUUAGUCUCUUUAAAUAUAUUGAGUGAACAUUGAUAACUACAGCUCGAGAAUUCGUUCUCGAUAGCAGUCUCUGACUGUUGCUGCUAGUAACGUGAAUACUGGCCCUCGUGGUCUUUUCUACGUUUAUCUAGUGGUAACAAUUAAGUGAGUGAUUGUGAACGGUAAUUAUUGUGUUCAUGUAUCGUGUGCAAACACAAUCGGCUGUCUGAAAUUAAAUUUUCUUACGGUCUGAAUUUUGAUCUGAGAUGAAGCGAGACAACCCCCUGAAUUUAA